UACGGAGGGGGCUAGCGUUGUUCGGAAUUACUGGGCGUAAAGCGCACGUAGGCGGAUAUUUAAGUCAGGGGUGAAAUCCCGGGGCUCAACCCCGGAACUGCCUUUGAUACUGGGUAUCUGGAGGUCGAGAGAGGCGAGUGGAAUUCCGAGUGUAGAGGUGAAAUUCGUAGAUAUUCGGAGGAACACCAGUGGCGAAGGCGGCUCGCUGGCUCGAUACUGACGCUGAGGCACGAAGGCCAGGGGAGCAAACGGG
rnacentral:rRNA from 1 species